rnacentral:rRNA from 1 species
CGGUGUUUAACUGGCGUGAUGUGGGACGUCCUACCGGUGGGCUUAGCCUCGCGAGGGGCGGCCCAACUAAUAUCCCGUCGCGGUGCUCUUUACUGAGUGUCGAGUCGGGCCGGUACGUUUACUUUGAACAAAUUAGAGUGCUUAAAGCAGGCUAUCCUCGCCUGAAUACUGCGUGCAUGGAAUAAUGGAAUAGGACCUCGGUUCUAUUUUGUUGGUUUUCGGAACCCCGAGGUAAUGAUUAAUAGGGACAGAUGGGGGCAUUCGUAUUGCGACGUUAGAGGUGAAAUUCUUGGAUCGUCGCAAGGCGGACAGAAGCGAAAGCAUUUGCCAAAAAUGUUUUCAUUAAUCAAGAACGAAAGUUAGAGGUUCGAAGGCGAUCAGAUACCGCCCUAGUUCUAACCAUAAACGAUGCCAGCUAGCGAUCCGCCCGAAGUUCCUCCGAUGACUCGGCGGGCAGCUUCCGGGAAACCAAAGCUUUUGGGUUCCGGGGGAAGUAUGGUUGCAAAGCUGAAACUUAAAGGAAUUGACGGAAGGGCACCACCAGGAGUGGAGCCUGCGGCUUAAUUUGACUCAACACGGGAAACCUCACCAGGCCCAGACACCGGAAGGAUUGACAGAUUGAUAGCUCUUUCUUGAUUCGGUGGGUGGUGGUGCAUGGCCGUUCUUAGUUGGUGGAGCGAUUUGUCUGGUUAAUUCCGAUAACGAACGAGACUCUAGCCUGCUAAAUAGGCGUACCUUAUGGUAUCGCGAAGGCCCCCGGCUUCGGCCGGUGGGUUUUUACUACCAACGUACAAACAAAUCUUCUUAGAGGGACAGGCGG